AAUACGUUCCCGGACCUUGCACACACCGCCCGUCAAGUCAUGGAAGCUGGGUGUACCUAAAGUCGGUAACCGCAAGGAGCCGCCUAGGGUAAAACUAGUGACUGGGGCU
rnacentral:rRNA from 1 species